rnacentral:rRNA from 1 species
UUAGUGGCGGACGGGUGAGUAACGCGUGGAUAACCUGCCGUAUACCGGGGGAUAACACUUAGAAAUAGGUGCUAAUACCGCAUAAGCGCACGGCUCCGCAUGGGGCAGUGUGAAAAACUCCGGUGGUAUACGAUGGAUCCGCGUCUGAUUAGCUAGUUGGCGGGGUAACGGCCCACCAAGGCAGCGAUCAGUAGCCGGCCUGAGCGGGUGGACGGCCACAUUGGGACUGAGACACGGCCCAAACUCCUACGGGAGGCAGCAG